CCUACGGGUGGCAGCAGUAGGGAAUCUUCCACAAUGGGCGAAAGCCUGAUGGAGCAACGCCGCGUGGGUGAAGAAGGUCUUCGGAUCGUUAAACCCUGUUGUUAGAGAAGAAAGUGCGUGAGAGUAACUGUUCACGUUUCGACGGUAUCUAACCAGCAAGCCACGGCUAACUACGUGCCAGCAGCCGCGGUCAUACGUAGGUGGCAAGCGUUAUCCGGAUUUAUUUGGCGUAAAGGGAACGCAGUCGGUCUUUUAAGUCUGAUGUGAAAGCCUUCGGCUUAACCGGAGUAGUGCAUUGGAAACUGGGAGACUUGAGUGCAGAAGAGGAGAGUGGAACUCCAUGUGUAGCGGUGAAAUGCGUAGAUAUAUGGAAGAACACCAGUGGCGAAAGCGGCUCUCUGGUCUGUAACUGACGCUGAGGUUCGAAAGCGUGGGUAGCAAACAGGAUUAGAUACCCCUGUAGUC
rnacentral:rRNA from 1 species